rnacentral:rRNA from 1 species
GAGCACGUAGGUGGGUUUGUAAGUCAGCUGUGAAAUCCCCCGGCUCAACCGAGGAACUGCAGCUGAUACUGCCGGACUAGAGUGCGCGAGGGGAGAGCGGAAUUCCUGGUGGAGCGGUGAUAUGCGUAGAUAUCAGGAGGAACGCCGGAGGCGAAAGCGGCUCUCUGGUGCGCAACUGACGCUGAGGUGCGAAAGCUAGGGGAGCGAACAGGAUUAGAUACCCUGGUAGUCCUAGCCGUAAACGAUGGGCACUAAGUAGAGGGGUUUU